rnacentral:rRNA from 1 species
UGGGGAAUAUUGGACAAUGGGCGCAAGCCUGAUCCAGCCAUUCCGCGUGCAGGACGAAGGCCUUCGGGUUGUAAACUGCUUUUGUACGGAACGAAAAGCCCUUCUCUAAUACAGAGGGGUCAUGACGGUACCGUAAGAAUAAGCACCGGCUAACUUCGUGCCAGCAGCCGCGGUAAUACGAAGGGUGCAAGCGUUACUCGGAAUUACUGGGCGUAAAGCGUGCGUAGGUGGUGGUUUAAGUCAGAUGUGAAAGCCCUGGGCUCAACCUGGGAACUGCAUUUGAUACUGGAUCACUAGAGUGCGGUAGAGGAUAGUGGAAUUCCGCGUGUAGCAGUGAAAUGCGUAGAGAUGCGGAGGAACACCGAUGGCGAAGGCAGCCUCCUGGGCCAGUACUGACGCUCAUGCACGAAAGCGUGGGGAGCAAACA